UACGUAGGGUGCAAGCGUUGUCCGGAAUUAUUGGGCGUAAAGAGCUCGUAGGCGGUCUGUCGCGUCGGCUGUGAAAUCCCGAGGCUCAACCUCGGGUCUGCAGUCGAUACGGGGCAAACUAGAGUAUUGCAGGGGAGACUGGAAUUCCUGGUGUAGCGGUGAAAUGCGCAGAUAUCAGGAGGAACACCGGUGGCGAAGGCGGGUCUCUGGGCAAUAACUGACGCUGAGGAGCGAAAGCGUGGGGAGCGAACAGG
rnacentral:rRNA from 1 species